rnacentral:rRNA from 1 species
GACGAACGCUGGCGGCGUGCUUAACACAUGCAAGUCGUACGGUAAGGCCCUUUCGGGGGUACACGAGUGGCGAACGGGUGAGUAACACGUGAGUAACCUGCCCACAACUUUGGGAUAACGCUAGGAAACUGGUGCUAAUACUGGAUAUGUGCUCCUGCUGCAUGGUGGGGGUUGGAAAGCUCCGGCGGUUGUGGAUGGACUCGCGGCCUAUCAGCUUGUUGGUGGGGUAGUGGCCUACCAAGGCGGCGACGGGUAGCCGGCCUGAGAGGGUGACCGGCCACCAUUGGGACGGGAUACCGCCCAGACUCCUACGGGAGGCAGCAGUGGGGAAUAUUGCACAAUGGGCGCAAGCCUGAUGCAGCAACGCCGCGGGCGGGAUGACGGCCUUCGGGUUGUAAACCGCUUUCAGCAGGGACGAAGCUUUUUGUGACGGUACCUGCAGAAGAAGCACCGGCUAACUACGUG